rnacentral:lncRNA from 1 species
GGUCUGGGGUCAGGGGCGUCCUGAUCCCCCUGUCAAGGUCGCUGCAGGCUGGGCACCUCCCUUUAUUGCAGUCGUCAGCUCUUCCGCACUGCUCUCCCCACUUCCUCUUCCAAGUCCAGGUCAGUCACGGCGCCCUGGAGAGGCUAGUCCCGGGGCGCUGCAUCUCCUGCAUUGGUUCCCUUGAUGCUACUACCCACGCCCUUAAAAACCAUCCCUGUGUUGGCCUAUCUUCACCCACCCUGCUUGGUGGCCUCCGUUUCCCGCCAGGACCCUGACUGAUGCGGAUAAGGGGAUGUUGCCAAAUGUGACAUCACUGCAAACUCACACUAAUGGAAGGAUGUAUGCAAACUUUAGAAUAUGAACAGAUAACCCACCUUUAAAAUACUCUUUUUUCAGCUCAUUCUUCCAGUUAGCACAGCUGGCCAGCUUGAGAGGAAAUCUCUCCUUACCCCCCAAAUGAUGAAAUCAGCCCCUACUUCAUCCCUUGGCUCCAGCGCCAGCUGUCUCGGCCCCGGACCUCCUCUUGCGGGUCCCCCCCUGCCCUGCACUUCCUAACGCUGUGAGCUUCUUAGCCAUUCAUUCGGGUGGAGACCUUCCCUCUAGAGACGUACUGGCCACGGCUGAGUCAAGCAGCUCCCAGGACAGUUUCAGGCAACAGGGAGCUGGUUUUUCCGAGAAUUAGCUUUUUUGGCAUCAACCACACUCUAGCAGGCUCGGGCCUGAGUUGAUUAAUCAGAACGGCCAACCUGAUUAAUGCCACACGUUGUUUCCACUCCCACUCAGAUAAUCUGUGGGCUGUGUGACUAACGUGGAUACUCAAAGGCAGGAUGCUCUGAGCUCCAGUCUAGGUGAGCACACACAUCUGGAGAGCGGGAACCCGUGUCCCAUCCCUGGCUGGGCUGAGGACUCCUGGAGGAGGCCUUCAGGCUGGGCUGGCUCAGGCAUCUGAAUGUCUGGGUUUAAAUCCCAAAUCGGUUGCAUUCUGGUUGUUAGAGCCCUGGCAAGUUAUGCAGCCUUCCAGAGGCUCAGUUUCUUCUUUAAAAUGAAGAUCAGUGUAAGAAUGACAUACAAAGGUGCUCUCAAGAAAUCUGUUGACAUAGAAAGCAGGAGUCCAGGCUAGCAGAUGCAAAGAGAGCAGAUUAUGCUGGGAAGACACAAACAAGGGCAUAGCUGAUGGACGUGGGCUGGGCCACAGACUGGUGUUGACCAGCCUCCUCCUUGGUUCUCUUGCUUAUGGAGAAUGGAUCGAAUCCUGGCUCUUCACAUUGGCUGUGUGACCUCAGAAAGUCACAUGAAGUCUCUGUGCUACCUUUUCCUGAUCUGUGAAACGGGUAUGGUAACAGUAUCCGCACUGGGUUGUUGGAUUAAAUGAGUUAAUAAGAAUAAAUCUCUUACAACUACAGCUGCCUUUAGCGGGUGCUCAGUAAGUGUUAGGUCACCUUCUUCAUCCAGGGCCUAUGGAUGGCUCGUGUGCGUGCCUCUGGCUCAGGUUCCCCAAACUCUUCCAGAUUUACCUCCCCAGAGCCCCUAAAGGGAACCCCGGAAGCACCCUUCAGCCUCUCUGGGGAAGCUUAGGUGCCUCUGAUGGGGUGUGGGUGGUAGGAUGGUGAGAAAGGGCUGAAACGGGAAGGACUGACAAGGAAUUUAUAGCCUCUGGGGGUUUCCUUGCCCAGAGAAUCUGGGUGAAAAUUCUCCCCCUGAGUUGGAGAAUCAGACCUUGCCUGGCCUGAUCCAAGGCUGGCAGCUGGCAUCUUGGGGGUGAUCAUGGUGUCAGAGAAGCAGUGUGGCCUCAGAAUUAGGAGAUGCUCCAUGGAGCCAGGCGGCCUGGGUUCAAAUCCCAGCUCUGCCCCUUGCCAAUUUAUUUAAACUGCCAAGGUUUCACCAAUAAAAUGAGGCUGAUUACAACGGCACAACCUUACGGAAGGUUGUGUAAUGUGCCCGGAACAGUUCCUGGUUGAGAAUAAGUGCUUUCGGUAACGUCAGCUAAUGUGAAUAUACCACCAGCCACAGUGCCCUCUGAUGACCAGGGGAGGCUAUUGUGGUAGCCAGAAUAAUGGCCCCUUUCAAGGAUGUCCAUGGCCUCAUCCUUGGAAUCUUAAAUAUGUUGCCUUACUUGGGGGAAGGGACUUUGCCCUGUGAUCAAGUUCAGGAUCUGGAGAUGGGGAGAUUACCCUCUGUUGUCCAGAUGGGUCCAAUGUCAUCACAAGGGUGAAAGAUGGAGGCAGAAGAGGGAGAGUGUCGAAGUGACACAGGGCAGGAGAGACUCAACCAGCCAUUGUUGGCUUUGAAGAUGAGAGCUGGCCAUGAGCCAAGAAAUGCAGGCGGCUUCUAGAAGCUGAAAAAGGCCAUGAAGUGGAUUUUUCUCCUGGAGUCUCCAUAAAGGAACUCAGCCGCAAGACCCAUUUCUGACCUCCAGACUUGUAAAAUAAACUUGUGUUGUUUGAAGCCACUAAGUUUGCAGUAAUUUGUUACAGCAGCAACAGGGAACUCAUACAGCUGCCAGGACCCAACACAGCUGCGUCCUUGAAGGAGGCACCACAUCAAAUCACUCCAUGGGAGUUACUGAGAAGCUGUGGUGUCACCCCGGUGGCUUGCCUUCGAGAUGUGUAGGGCAACACACUGGACCCUGGAACUGAGCGUUCCCUGGGCAUAGGCACUGCCAGGAAUGGACUAGUCAGAGGCAAGAGAGAUCAGGGCAGGCGCAAUUGAAAAAGGCCUCUGGAGAAGGUGACCCCUCAGGAGGGUCUUGAAGGGUGGACGGUGUGGGGUUUGGACAGGGAGGAGGAGGAGGGAGGCAAGGCAUUGCUGGGAGCAUUGCCGUGGGAUCAAAGUCAUUUCACUCAUUAUUCAUUCAUCUGUUCAGUCAACACCCGUGCUACAGGCCCCAUGCGAGGUACCUGGGUCGUGCAGUGAAUGGGAUAGGCCUGGUGGAAGCCAACAGGGCAUUCCAAUAAAGCAUGACAAGCUUUACAGCAGGAAAAGUGCAGCUUGGAAAGGGGGCACAUCAGGAUGGGCCUCUUGGAGGAAGUGAUCCUUCAUUACUGGAUGAACUGAAGGUUUGUGGUGCUCCGCUCUCAGCAGGUGCUGACUGAUAGAGGUUUAGCCGUAUAGUUUGUUAUUCCCCAUCCAAUUCUGUCACCAUCCACCUUACGGCAUUAAGACAGUCCCAGGUGGGUGCUAUUAAGUCGCGAGCAUCACUUUAAUUCUUGCUCAUCUCCCUUGGGAACCUAGAGAGCAGCCUCGGGUGUAUUCUGAGAACAGGUGCUAGUUAAGGUUUAAGGCCACUGCUAGCUAAGGUUUAAGGCCAGGUACCUAGUUUUUAUUUGUUUAAUUACCUUACUUGUGUGGCAGGGGACACUGAUUUUCCACUUCUGGGAGGAGAACACAAUUUCCUUUUUAAAAUAAGUGUAUCUAAGUGUAACAGAACCGUGAGUGAGUCGGGGGUUCUUCCUCUCGCCCUGGAAUCAACCCCUGGGAUCCAGGCGAGGACAAACCAGGCACGAAGCGCCUCUCAGCGGUGAUAAAUCCCCUCAGGACCUCCGCAUCCUAAUCCCGGCUCACAACACACACUCCGUACUGGGCGGGGCGGGGUGGGAACUGGGGUCAGAGGACGAGCAGUGAUUGGCUGUGAGAUUCUCCAGAGGAAUUCUCAUAGGGCCGGGGGCGGGGCUGCUGCCGGGAGAGGAGCCCAGGGUCCCUUACUGGGGGGAGGCCUGUUUUGAGCGGGGCCGCGCUAAUCUGCUCAGUUUGCCUUUCUGGACCGGAAGAAAAGAAACCCGGAGAGAGGCUGGAGGCAGCCAGUGGAGAGGGAGUGGCCUGUACGCCCUCCACCUGUCAGGCAGGGUUGUGCGGCUGAGUGGAGGAGGAGGAAAGGAGCUGACAGCCCCCAGGAAGGCUGCCUGGCGUGGGAGGGUGGUCUUGGGGCCCCCGAGGAACCGCACAGAGGGCAGCAGGGCCAGCACAGGCUGGGCAGAGAAAAGAGAUGGUUUACAGCAAGAGGACCUCCGUGGUGGCGGGCUGCUUCACGGAACAUGGACCCCUGCCUCUCCCUUCUGCCCCCAACACAGGGAGCCAGGCCCUGGAGGAGCAGAGAAGAAUGAGGGCGCUCCUGGCCCUCUCCUCUCUUUAGAAUGUGGGUUCUUAGACCCUCUUUGUCCUCCGUUGAGGGCCCCAGGGUCAUUCGGGGGUGUCAGGGUU